rnacentral:rRNA from 1 species
AACGAACGCUGGCGGCAUGCCUAACACAUGCAAGUCGAACGAGAUCUUCGGAUCUAGUGGCGCACGGGUGCGUAACGCGUGGGAAUCUACCCUUGGGUUCGGAAUAACAGUUAGAAAUGACUGCUAAUACCGGAUGAUGACGAAAGUCCAAAGAUUUAUCGCCCAAGGAUGAGCCCGCGUAGGAUUAGCUAGUUGGUGGGGUAAAGGCCUACCAAGGCGACGAUCCUUAGCUGGUCUGAGAGGAUGAUCAGCCACACUGGGACUGAGACACGGCCCAGACUCCUACGGGAGGCAGCAGUGGGGAAUAUUGGACAAUGGGCGAAAGCCUGAUCCAGCAAUGCCGCGUGAGUGAUGAAGGCCUUAGGGUUGUAAAGCUCUUUUACCCGGGAUGAUAAUGACAGUACCGGGAGAAUAAGCUCCGGCUAACUCCGUGCCAGCAGCCGCGGUAAUACGGAGGGAGCUAGCGUUGUUCGGAAUUACUGGGCGUAAAGCGCGCGUAGGCGGCUAUUCAAGUCAGAGGUGAAAAGCCCGGGGCUCAACCCGGCAGUAGCCUUUGAAAACUAGAUAGCUAGAAUCUGGGAGAGGUGAGUGGAAUUCCGAGUGUAGAGGUGAAAUUCGUAGAUAUUCGGAAGAACACCAGUGGCGAAGGCGGCUCACUGGACCAGAA